UCCCAAACUGGAACUUUCCUCAGGACAACAAAGGAUUGUCCUGAGGAAAGUUACAGUUUGGGA
rnacentral:miRNA from 1 species